rnacentral:rRNA from 1 species
CCUACGGGAGGCAGCAGUGAGGAAUAUUGGGCAAUGCCCGAAAGGGUGACCCAGCAACGCCGCGUGGAGGAUGAAGUCCUUCUGGACGUAAACUCCUUUUAGAGGGGACGAAAAGCCCGAUUUGUCGGGAAUUGACGGUACCCUCAGAAAAAGCACCGGCUAACUACGUGCCAGCAGCCGCGGUAAUACGUAGGGUGCAAGCGUUGUCCGGAUUCACUGGGUGUAAAGGGUGCGCAGGCAGGCUCUUAAGUCAAAGGUGAAAUCUCUGGGCUUAACCGAGAAAUUGCCUUUGAUACGGAGGGCCUUGAGUACGGGAGAGGGAGAUGAAAUUCCAGGUGUAGCGGUGAAAUGCGUAGAUAUCUGGAGGAACACCGGAGGCGAAGGCGGUCUCCUGGCCCUUUAUUGACGCUCAGGCACGAAAGCGUGGGGAGCAAACAGGAUUAGAUACCCUAGUAGU